UCAGGAAACAUGAACAAACUCAUCUUUGGAAAGGGAACUAAACUGCGGAUCAAACUCGAUCUCGCAGACUCUGACCCUUCUGUCUACCAACUGAAGUCCCAAGAUGGAAAAUUGUCAGCUUGCCUUAUCACAGACUUCGCCCCUGAGAACAUCUCAGUUGGGAGUUCAGGCAGUGAUCUAACACCAGUCAGUGGUUCCAUUGUGCAGGUGAAAAACCCAGACAGCAGAAAAAUGGAAGCAAGCUAUGGGACGGUGCUUUGGAGAGAAGAGAAGUCGUUUCACUGCAUCGCUAAACAUAAAAUGGAAACAUUUGAGAUGAGUGACAGUGAUGAAGAAGGUGACACCUGCGGGAUAACAGAGCUGGAUGACAAUUUUGAGACAGACGAGAAGCUGAACCUCCUGUCAUUCACGCUGCUGGGCCUGAGAAUCGUUUUUGUGAAAGGAGUGGCGGUUAACCUGCUGCUGACCAUCUGGCUGUGGAAAAGCUAAAGAGUGGAAGGAAAGAGGACAGAUGGAAUCUGGAGUGAUGGGAAUUCCUCAGAGACCUGGUGUCACCUCUUCACCUUCCCAUGCACCAGGAAAUAUGAUGCCGUGAAUGAUCCUCAUAUCACCUCUGUAUAUAGGCCUGUUGUACAAUGAUCAGAUGUGCUUUCAUUUAGCAAGUUUUAGAAGGAUCUCACCUACCUAGCCUGGUUUUUCCAUGACCCUCAUCCCUUUCACCCUCCACAGACUGACACAUUUAUCCUCACAAGCUCCCAGUGUGAGGCAAGGAAUUGCUAUUAAGUAGAGCUGGUCAACAAACGUGUGAAAACAUCUUUUGAUGGAAAAUUAGGGUUUCAAUUUAUUUUGGCAGAAAGUCCCCAUUUUCCUAGGGAAAAAAACUUCAAAUUUUCAUCAAAAACUCAAAAUGUUUGGCUAAAAACUGAAUAUUUUGCAGUUUUUUUGGUUUUUUUUUUUUAGUUUUUUACCACAAGAUUUUUCAAUUUUUAGUUGUCAAACCACCAAAAACAACUUUUUAAACAGUUUUUUCCAGUGCAAAUUUCAACAAAAAGUGAAAAUUUUUUUAGAGUUGAUUGAAAUUUUCUGCAGAUCAAACCAGCUUUACCAUUAACCCUAUUUUGAAAAGGGGAAAUUGAAGCACAGAGAAUGAGGCUGAGAUUUUCAAAGCCACCUAAGGGCUUUGGGCUCCUGCUUCUCUUGGAAAUCAAUGGGAAUUGUGCAUUAAAAUCCUCUAGGUUGAAUUUUACACUCUCUGCCACACACUGGGAUUUUCAAAGCAGCCUAGAGGAAUGAGGCAUCCAUCUCCACUUGAAAUUCAAUAGCAUUUAGGCAGCUAGUGCCUUUGAAAAUCCAGCCAGCACAUUUCUGAUAGUGGUGGGUUCUUUAAAGCAGACGCGUGGAAGUUGACGCUAGACAAAUUCAGCCUGGCACUAAAGUGCAAAUUAACAAUCGGGUAAUUA